GAUGAACGCUGGCGGCGUGCCUAAUACAUGCAAGUCGAGCGAACGGACGAGAAGCUUGCUUCUCUGAUGUUAGCGGCGGACGGGUGAGUAACACGUGGAUAACCUACCUAUAAGACUGGGAUAACUUCGGGAAACCGGAGCUAAUACCGGAUGAUAUUUUGAAUCGCAUGGUUCAAAAGUGAAAGACGGUCUUGCUGUCACUUAUAGAUGGAUCCGCGCUGCAUUAGCUAGUUGGUAAGGUAACGGCUUACCAAGGCAACGAUGCAUAGCCGACCUGAGAGGGUGAUCGGCCACACUGGAACUGAGACACGGUCCAGACUCCUACGGGAGGCAGCAGUAGGGAAUCUUCCGCAAUGGGCGAAAGCCUGACGGAGCAACGCCGCGUGAGUGAUGAAGGUCUUCGGAUCGUAAAACUCUGUUAUUAGGGAAGAACAUAUGUGUAAGUAACUGUGCACAUCUUGACGGUACCUAAUCAGAAAGCCACGGCUAACUACGUG
rnacentral:rRNA from 1 species